rnacentral:rRNA from 1 species
GACAUAGGUGGCAAGCGUUAUUCGGAAUUACUAGCGUAAAGCGAGUGUAGGCGGACGAUUAAGUCCGAUGUUAAAUCUCCAGGCUUAACUUGGAGUCGCAUCGGAUACUGGUCGCCUCGAGUGGGGUAGGGGGCAGCGGAAGUUCCCGGUGUAGCGGUGAAAUGCGUAGAUAUCGGGAGGAACACCUAUGGCGAAAGCAGCUGCCUGGGCCUUUACUGACGCUAAGACUCGAAAGCUGGGGGAGCAAACCGG